GAAACAGUGACUAAGAAACUGCUACUGCUGCAGUAAAAUGUACAAUCUACUCUUCUCGAUCCUAAAGAGAACAUAACAAUCACUGUGUAUGAUAAAUAAUGCGUUCAAUAUGAUCACUAACAAUGCCAGCAACAACCUCAGGAGAAAACCUACUCAUCAUAUCAUCCCUUGCCUGCUUACCUCUGGCCUUAGCUUCCUCCUGAUUUCUCAUUACAUGCCUCAGUAGCGUUUGCAGCUUAUUAACCGAAGGUUCAGCCCAUAAAUGUCCCUUAAAUGGACCUUCUGUGAC
rnacentral:misc_RNA from 1 species